rnacentral:rRNA from 1 species
UACGUAGGGGGCAAGCGUUGUCCGGAAUUAUUGGGCGUAAAGCGCGUGUAGGCGGUUCGGUAAGUCUGCUGUGAAAGUCCAAGGCUCAACCUUGGAAAGCCGGUGGAUACUGUCGAGCUCGAGUCCGGAAGAGGCGAGUGGAAUCCUGGUGUAGCGGUGAAAUGCGCAGAUAUCAGGAGGAACACCAAUGGCGAAGGCAGCUCGCUGGGACGGUACUGACGCUGAGACGCGAAAGCGUGGGGAGCAAACAGG